rnacentral:rRNA from 1 species
GAAAUCGAAGGUGACGACCCACAGGGAGCCUGAACAGGUGUUGCAUGGCUGUCGUCACCUCGUGUCGUGAGAUGUUCGGUUAAAUCCGCUAACGAGCGCAACCCUCGCCGCGUGUUAUACGUGUCACGCGGGACCGCCGGUAUUAAGCCGGAGGAAGGCGGGGAUGACGUCAAGUCAGCAUGGCCUUUAUGCCUGGGGCUACACACACGCUACAAUGGGCAGUACAAUGGGUUGCCAAGCCGCGAGGUGGAGCCAAUCCCGCAAAACUGUCCUCAGUUCAGAUUGCAGGCUGCAACUCGCCUGCAUGAAGCUGGAGUUGCUAGUAAACGCGCGUCAGCUAUAGUGCGUUGAAUACGUUCUCGGGUCUUGUACACACCGAG